ACCCACAUAUUACAACGGAUUAGUAUACGAGGUUUUCAACCUUGAGACCCGGGUUCGACUCCCGGUGUGGGUA
rnacentral:tRNA from 1 species